AAAUAACAAACACAAAGGGAAAGAGGAGAGGCACCCAUAGAUGUUCUCUAGGCCUUUUAGAAAACAUGGACUUGUUCCUUUGACCCCGUAUAUGCGAAUCUAUUAGAAAGGUGACAUUGUAUGCAUAAGGGAAUGGGUACUGUUCAAAAAGGAAUGCCCCGCAAGUGUUACCAGGGCAAAACCGGAAGAGUCUACAGUGUUACUGCAUGCUGUUGGCAUUGUUAUAAACACACGAGUUAAGGGCAAGAUUCUUGCCAGGAGAAUUAAUGUAUGUAUUGAGCACAUUAAACACUCUAAAAGCCGAGAUAGCUUCCUGAAACGCAUGAAGGAAAAUGAUCAGAAAAAGAAGGAAGCCAAUGAGAAAGGUUCCUGGGUUCAACUGAAGCGCCAGCCUGCUCCAGCCGGAGAAGUGUACUUUGUGGGAACCAAUGGGAAGGCGCCUGAGCUGCUGGAACCUAUUCCCUAUGAAUUCAUGG
rnacentral:lncRNA from 1 species